rnacentral:lncRNA from 1 species
AAAACGGGUGGGCUAUAGCUUUUGGGGGUGGGGCCGGCCCACUUCGUUCGCCGCACUCGGAAUGGCGCGAGACUUUGGGACGCGCCUCCGUAUGCCAAAAAUAGGCCGCGGGCACAGCCGCGCCCAAAAAUAACCGCCCGAAGGCCGGGGCGCCAAGUUCGUCCAGCGGAAAAAGGCCACAAAUACGGGUGGGCUAUAACCUUGGGGAGUGGGGCCGGCCAACUUCGUCCGCCGGACUCGGAAUGGCGCGAGACUUUGCGAGGCACCUCCGUGUGCCAAAAAUAGGCCACGGACACUGCCGCGCGCAAAACUAACCUUCCGUAGGCCGGGGCGCCAAGUUCAUCCAGCGGAAAAAGGCCACAAAAACGGGUGGGCUAUAGCCUUGGGGGGUGGGGCUGGCCAACUUCGUCCGCCGGACUCGGAAUGGCGCGUGAUUUUGUGAAGCGCCUCCGUGCGCCAAAAAUAGGCCGCGGGCACAGCCGCGCCCAAAAAUAACCGCCCGAAGGCCGGGGCGCCAAUUUCGUCCAGCGGAAAAAGGCCACAAAUACGGGUGGGCUAUAGCCUUGGGGGGUGGGGCUGGCCUACUUCGCCCGCCGGACUCGGAAUGGCGCGAGACUUUGCGAGGCACCUCUGUGUGACAAAAAUAGGCCGCCGGCACAGCCGCACCCAAAAAUAACCGCCCGAAGGCCGGGGCACCAAGUUCGUCCAGCGGAAAAAGGCCACAAAUACGGGUGGGCUAUAGCCUUGGGGGGUGGGGCUGGCCAACUUCGUACGCCGGACUCGGAAUGGCGCGAGCCUUUGCGAGGCGCAUCCGUGCGCCAAAAAUAGGCCGCGGGCACAGCCGCGCCCAAAAAUAACCGCCCGAAGGCCGGGACGCCAAGUUCGUCCAGCGGAAAAAGGCCACAAAUACGGGUGGGCUAUAGCCUUGGGGGGUGGGUCUGGCCAACUUCGUCCGCCGGACUCGGAAUGCCGCGAGACUUUGCGAGGCUCCUCCGUGUGAAAAAAAUAGGCCGCGGGCACAGCCGCGCCCAAAAAUAACCACCUGAAGGCCGGGGCGUUAGGUUCGUCCAGCGGAAAAAGGCCACAAAUACGGGUGGGCUAUAGCCUUGGGGGGUGGGGCAGGCCAACUUCGUCCGCCAGACUUGGAAUGGCGCGAGACUUUGCGAGGCACCUCCGUGUGCCAAAAAUAGGCCGCGGGGACAGCCACACCCAAAAAUAACUGCCCGAAGGCCGGGACGCCAAGUUCGUCCAGCGCAAAAAGGCCACAAAUACGGGUGGGCUAUAGCCUUGGGGGGUGGGGCAGGCCAACUUCGUCCGCCGGGCUCGGAAUGGCGCGAGACUUUGCGAGGCACCUCCGUGAGCCAAAAAUAGGCCGCGGGCACAGCCGCGCCCAAAAAUAACCGCCCGAAGGCCGUGGCGCCAAGUUCGUCCAGCAGAAAAAGGCCACAAAUACGGGUGGGUAUAGCCUUGGGGGGUGGGGCUUGCCAACUUCGUCCGCCGGACUCGGAAUGGUCCGAGACUUUGCGAGGCGCCUCCGUGUGCCAAAAAUAGGCCGCGGGAAUAGCCGCGCCCAAAAAUAACCGCCCAAAGGCCGGGACGCCAAGUUCGUCCAGCGGAAAAAGGGCACAAAAACGGGUGGGCUAUAGCCUUGGGGGGUGGGGCUGGCCAACUUCGUCCGCCGGACUCGGAAUGGCGCGAGACUUUGCGAGGCGCCUCCGUGUGCCAAAAAUAGGCCGCGGGCACAGCCGCGCCCAAAAAUAACCUCCCGAAGGCCGGGCCGUCAAGUUCGUCCAGCGGAAAAAGGCCACAAAAACGGGUGGGCUAUAGCCUUGGGGGGUGGGGCUGGCCUACUUCGCCCGCCGGACUCGGAAUGGCGCGAGACUUUGCAAGGCACCUCUGUGUGACAAAAAUAGGCCACCGGCACAGCCGCGCCCAAAAAUAACCGCCCGAAGGCCGUGGCGCCAAGUUCGUCCAGCAGAAAAAGGCCACAAAUACGGG